rnacentral:rRNA from 1 species
AACAGAAUAAGCACCGGCUAACUCUGUGCCAGCAGCCGCGGUAAUACAGAGGGUGCAAGCGUUAAUCGGAAUUACUGGGCGUAAAGCGCGCGUAGGUGGUUUGUUAAGUUGAAUGUGAAAUCCCCGGGCUCAACCUGGGAACUGCAUCCAAAACUGGCAAGCUAGAGUAUGGUAGAGGGUAGUGGAAUUUCCUGUGUAGCGGUGAAAUGCGUAGAUAUAGGAAGGAACACCAGUGGCGAAGGCGACUACCUGGACUGAUACUGACACUGAGGUGCGAAAGCGUGGGGAGCAAACAGGAUUAGAUACCCCGGUAGUC